UCGAGAAUAAUUCGCAAUGGGCUAAAGCCUGACGAUGCGACGCCGCGUGAAUGAUGAAGGCCUUCGGGUUGUAAAGUUCUGUCGCCUGGGAACAAGGAUGCGCUUCGAAUAGAUGCGCAUUUUGAGGGUACCAGGAAUGGAAGCACCGGCUAACUCCGUGCCAGCAGCUGCGGUAAUACGGAGGGUGCAAGCGUUAGUCGGAAUUACUGGGCGUAAAGGGUGCGUAGGCGGAAAUAUAAGUCAUAUGUGAAAUUCCAAGGCUCAACCUUGGAGCUGCAUCUGAAACUAUAUUUCUAGAGGGAUGGCGGAGAAAAUGGAAUUCCACGUGUAGCGGUGAAAUGCGUAGAUAUGUGGAAGAACACCUGUGGCGAAAGCGGUUUUCUAGCUUCCCCCUGACGCUGAGGCACGAAAGCAAGGGGAUCAAACAGG
rnacentral:rRNA from 1 species